GUGGAAACAGGAAGUUAUGUUGUCUUCGGGAGGAUGGACUACAUGAAUCCGGCGGCCGCUGACGCCGAGACGCAUAAGCGUCUCCACGCAGGGCUGAAUAGUUAGAAAAGGCCUCGCUCAAAGCCCUGUCCAUGGUGCUGAAGCACAGCCAGCGGCGCACAACACUCAACCUCUGAGCGCUCGGAUGUUUUCAACCACAACAGGACUUCUGCCAGAACUAUUAUCAGGCCGGUGCAGAGGAUCAGAUAGUCAUACUGCACUUUACCAUUCUCCAUCAACUCCACGUGUUUGGCCUCACGAUCGAUGGCCUUCA